rnacentral:rRNA from 1 species
AACGCUGGCGGCAGGCCUAACACAUGCAAGUCGAACGGUAGCACAGAGAGCUUGCUCUCGGGUGACGAGUGGCGGACGGGUGAGUAAUGUCUGGGAAACUGCCCGAUGGAGGGGGAUAACUACUGGAAACGGUAGCUAAUACCGCAUAAUGUCGCAAGACCAAAGAGGGGGACCUUCGGGCCUCUUGCCAUCGGAUGUGCCCAGAUGGGAUUAGCUUGUUGGUGAGGUAAUGGCUCACCAAGGCGACGAUCCCUAGCUGGUCUGAGAGGAUGACCAGCCACACUGGAACUGAGACACGGUCCAGACUCCUACGGGAGGCAGCAGUGGGGAAUAUUGCACAAUGGGCGCAAGCCUGAUGCAGCCAUGCCGCGUGUGUGAAGAAGGCCUUCGGGUU